GAAAAUAUCAGUUUUGAGCCAUUUGAGCAUAUCCCCAAGUGGAAGACAUAUCUCUUUGGUCUGCUACCUACAAAGCUGGACAAAGGUGAUAUUUGUGAGUGGUGUGCCGACCCAGCAAGGUAGUAGUGCAUGGGAGCCACGUCUUUGAGUCCCUGUUACGCUGGCACUCUCAGAGUUCCUCUCCACCACACAUGAGCAAGUACAGUGAACUUUAUCUUGGUCCCUAUCCUCUACUUAAGUGUUGAUCCAGUGAAGCCUUGUGGUCCUCGAGUUCUAGCUUGCUUCUUUGGUGUCUCUAUGGACUAUGUUGCAAGCCAAAGCUCCUCUCCCCAGCCGCUAAGUCUGCCUAGUCCUAGAGUUUGCAUGUGAUGGUCUACCAGUGGUGACCGUAGCACCAGAUUUGCCCACCUCGCCUUGGCCAGAUCAACGCAAACAGGUGUUUGUCCGGGUUGUGCCUGUUCUAUACUCUCCAUUCACCAGUGAAACACACAGUGUUGUUAUUUCCAAUUCUACUACUUUGUGGUGCCUGGAACAUGACCGAGCCACCGCGUACCGGAGCCGUGGGCAGCUUCACCAAGGACCGAACAACCUGUGUUUUCUCCAAGCAACUUCACGCGAGCAUAGGAAUCUUGGAUGGUGAUAAGAAGUACUCGAGGUGUUCCUGAGGCUGGAGGGUGUUUCUAGUUCUAGAGUAGGAUUAGUUAGGCUUGUGUAUAAGCUUUGGAGGGUUCCUACCUUCCUGCUAUUGUAAUAAGUUUUGCACUUUGAGUAUAUCAGGACUUGUAAUAAAUGUAACUCUUUCUAUGUAAUAAACUUCAGUUUUAGAAAUAAAAAUAAUGUUUUAUAAA